AAAGUUAGAGGUUCGAAGGCGAUCAGAUACCGCCCUAGUUCUAACCAUAAACGAUGCCAGCCAGCGAUCCGGCUGUGUUCCUCAAAUGACACGCCGGGCAGCUUCCGGGAAACCAAAGCUUUUGGGUUCCGGGGGAAGUAUGGUUGCAAAGCUGAAACUUAAAGGAAUUGACGGAGGGGCACCACCAGGUUUGGAGCUUGCGGCUUAAUUUGACUCAACGCGGGCAAACUCACCCGGCCCGGACACAGGAAGGAUUGACAGAUUAAGAGCUCUUUCUUGAUUCUGUGGGUGGUGGUGCAUGGUCGUUCUUAGUUGGUGGAGCGAUUUGUCUGGUUAAUUCCGAUAACGAGCGAGACUCUAGCCUACUAAAUAGACGUUCCGAUCAUCUGCGUCGGACGUUCUUCUUAGAGGGACAAGCGGCGUUUAGCCGCACGAGACAGAGCAAUAACAGGUCUGUGAUGCCCUUAGAUGUCCGGGGCCGCACGCGUGCUACAUUGAAGGAAUCAGCGUGUGCUUUCCCUGUCCGACAGGACUGGNUAACCCGUUGAACCUCCUUCGUGCUGGGGAUAGGGGCUUGUAACUGUUCCCCUUGAACGAGGAAUACCCAGUAAGCGCGAGUCAUCAUCUCGUGCUGAUUACGUCCCUGCCCCUUGUACACACCGCCCGUCGGUUCUACCGAUGAAUGAUUUAGCGAGGUCUUCGGACUGGCGCUCGGAGCGGCCUUCGGGUCGCGCCGGCGUGCCGGAAAGAUGACCAAACUUGAUCACU
rnacentral:rRNA from 1 species